rnacentral:rRNA from 1 species
CUGCUGCCUCCCGUAGGAGUUUGGGCCGUGUCUCAGUCCCAAUGUGGCCGUCCACCCUCUCAGGCCGGCUACUGAUCGUCGCCUUGGUGGGCCGUUACCCCGCCAACAAGCUAAUCAGACGCGGGUCCAUCUUACACCACCGGAGUUUUUCACACAAAUCCAUGCGGCUUCGUGCGCUUAUGCGGUAUUAGCACCUAUUUCUAAGUGUUAUCCCCCCAGUGUAAGGCAGGUUACCCACGCGUUACUCACCCGUCCGCCACUAAG